rnacentral:rRNA from 1 species
UCUGAUAGCUCAACUAUUAGGCUUCGGGGGAUACUGCCAGACGUGGAACCGGGAGAGGUAAGAGGUACUACAGGGGUAGGAGUGAAAUCUUGUAAUCCCUGUGGGACCACCUGUGGCGAAGGCGUCUUACCAGAACGGGUUCGACGGUGAGGGACGAAAGCUGGGGGCACGAACCGGAUUAGAUACCCGGGUAGUCCCAGCCGUAAACGAUGCUCGCUAGGUGUCAGGCAUGGCGCGACCGUGUCUGGUGCCGCAGGGAAGCCGUGAAGCGAGCCACCUGGGAAGUACGGCCGCAAGGCUGAAACUUAAGGGAAUUGGCGGGGGAGCACAACAACGGGUGGAGCCCUGCGGUUUAAUUGGACUCAACGCCGGACAACUCACCGGGGGGCGACAGCAAUAUGUAGGCCGAGCUGAAGACUUUGCCUGAAUCGCUGAGUGGUGGUGCAUGG